UGGGGCUGCACGGUUUCGUGGGUUGACGGAGUCGAUCGUUCGGUUUGGUCCGUGGACCAGAACGUUAGCGGUUUAGCCGAUCCAUGGAUCAGAUGAGGAGAACAGGACGAUCGGGUAAAAGCUGAGCCGUCAUGCAUCCACGUUUGAGAAAUUUCGUGCGGCAGCGGACGAUUUGCCCCGGCGAUGACUGGGCCGAAAAAUGGAGGAAGCAGGCAUGGAGUUCCUCCUCGAUGGCAUUGACAGAUUUCCGCUUGAAGAGGAGUUUGCAGACAUCCAUGAGCAUUCAGAUCCGCUCUCCUUGGCGUUGCUGGAAAACAGCGGAUCAGCAGUUGCCGACUUGAAUGCUGGCUCUUGGUGUCGUCAACAUCUCGGCGGUGAGGGCAACGAUAGUACAAGAGUUGGGGUGGAAGAAAAGGUAACAGACGAGCUCACGAUGAUCCUCAAACAGCACUAUGCUCGGGCGAUUAUGUAGCUAUCGCAAGCCAACAACGCAAUGAAGUGUGCUUUGUCGCAAGCAAAAAACGCCUUGCAGCUCGAUAUGUUCAAAUUAUCAGACCAGGUGCUCACUUCAAUUAGCAAACGAUGUGUUUGCUGCCGUGCAUGUGGAUUUACGGACUGCCCAUCUUCAGCUGCCGGUAGUGGGAAGACUGUGCGUUUCAACACACACACACCGGACAGAGAAUCCGGGGCCAGCGAUUAGACAAGUCUGAUUGUGAAGCGACAUCACCUGCUGCUCGGUGUGGAUCAUCACAGAAAUGGAUGUCAAAUAACGAUGACAACACAUAAGUCCACUUCAGCACCAACCAUUAUUCUGAACCAUUUCAAGUCCAGUGUGAUGUCCAUUGGUCAUGUGUAUGCCGAUCUACCAACCAAUCCAAAUGUAACUGUUUUUGGCCAAUGUCAGAGCAACCUACCUAGGUGGAAAUACAUUUUUCAGCAUGGGUUUACAACUAACCCAUGGGUAUCGGAGUAGUUCCACAUCCACCAGAUGCUCCAAUAACCGACCUUAUCAUCACACACUUAAGCAGUAUUUCACACAAUGAUCUUCAAAGGUAUUUUCCCAAUCUUUUUCCAAAACUACUUAUCUGGUACAACAUCAUUCAUGCCUAUCCAAGGCUCAUCAAUGUAUCUGGGUGGCCACGAAUCAGCAGCUUGUUGGCACACUCAACCUUGAUCAUGAGUUAAGGAGAUAUUCUCAGUCUGACAAUGAAGCUAAUAGUGAAUGCCCAUACCUUAAUUGGAGGCACAACAUGGAACCUGACUUUUGUGACAAUUGUGCUGGCAGAUCAUGACUAUAUCAACAACAUUUCGAUACAGAACCAACUUGUCCGCAAGGACAUCCCAUAUGACAUAACCUCCUCACAGAUGUUCUUCCGGCAAGUCCCGCUGGAGGACGCAUGGAUCAUUCUUAUGUGGGACAUGAUGUCAAAGAAGCUUCAUGUACUAGACCCGCUAAUUAGAGGCACGAGUUCAUUGCGUGGAAGCUGUACCAUGCUAUGUUUCAUCGCUUAAGCGAGUAUUAUGUUGGGUGGCCUACACAAGAUGGACAGUGGCAGACCUACUACUCGGUUGUAGCCCAGGAAACAUUUGGCAGGGAUGAAACAUGUGCAUGUGCCCUUCACAUAGCACGUCACUACGAUGGUACCAAGCUCAAGAUCCCCCUCACGAAGAGGGAGUACCACUCACUGAAAACAUGCUUACAUUAACAGCACAAUGUCGGCAAGACCAAAAGUCAGGCACUACACGAAUGCCUGAAACUAAAAGGAAAUUCUUCAAAAUUGGCGCAUGACGCUCUGUGGGUGGUUCUAACUCCAUCUGAUUCCUGGGUUGGCUCGAACCAGUCGGGUUAGGGCCAGCUAACCGUGCAAGAUUUCGUUUUCCCUUUUCUGAAACAUCAUCCCAUGCCUAAUUAUGUACAUCAUAUUAUGUGCUAUGAAGCCUGACAUCCUGUAAGGAUUUACUGUUUGCUAAAUGGACGCAUUUCGUGG
rnacentral:rRNA from 1 species